AAACCGCUUAGAAGAAAACGGACGGAACCGUCUGACGCCCUCGGGAAUCAGUCGAACGACGCGCGAACGCGUCUCGAUCGUCGGAGCGUAAAAGUCCGGCUCGAGGCGUCUAGUAGUCGCGUUCGUAAGGCGCAUUUCUCGAGGGUUAGCGCCGCGACCGAUGCGAACGGCCGACGACGCCGUCGAGUUGAGGUCGAACGCCCUUCGCGGGUAUUCGUAACCAGCUCGUUCGGUAGACGUAUAUAUUGUCGGAUCUAUAGGAGCAUCGAGCGAAUACUAUAAAUACGUCGGCGUAAAACGCUCGACGAGCGGCGGAGACUCGGCCAGUCGUUCGGUACCUGCUCGCAGGUGCUCGUUCGGCGCGAGGUCGUUUCCCGAUGUCGCCGUCGACGCUACCGACGUUUAGGCGUCCGCGGCGUCCGAGUCGGCCACCCGUCCGACCCGUCUUGAAACACGGACCAAGGAGUCUAACGUACGCGCGAGUUAAUGGGUGGAAAACCCAUAAGCGCAAUAAAAGUAAAAGUCGUCCUAAGACGGCCGAGGUACGAUCCUAGACUACGCGUCUAGGCGCAGUACCGUCCCGUCCCGACCGCACGUCGGUAGGGCGGAGAUUGAGCGCGUUCGUUGGGACCCGAAAGAUGGUGAACUAUGCCUGAGCAGAGCGAAGCCAGAGGAAACUCUGGUGGAGGUUCGUAGCGGUUCUGACG
rnacentral:rRNA from 1 species